rnacentral:rRNA from 1 species
UACGGAGGGUGCGAGCGUUAAUCGGAAUUACUGGGCGUAAAGCGCGCGUAGGCGGUUUGUUAAGUCGGAUGUGAAAUCCCCGGGCUCAACCUGGGAACUGCACCCGAUACUGGCCGACUUGAGUGCGAGAGAGGGAGGUAGAAUUCCACGUGUAGCGGUGAAAUGCGUAGAUAUGUGGAGGAAUACCGGUGGCGAAGGCGGCCUCCUGGCUCGACACUGACGCUGAGGUGCGAAAGCGUGGGGAGCAAAC